rnacentral:rRNA from 1 species
GGGGGGGGGGGGGGGGGGGGGGGGGGGGGGGGGGGCGGGGGGGGGGGGGGAGGGUGGGGGUGGAGUGAGGGGCGGGCGGGUGAGUAGUGCCUAGGAAUCGGCGUGGUGGGGGGGGAUAACGUGGGGAAACGGGCGGUAAUACCGCCUACGUGGUGAGGGAGGCAGUGGGGGGGCUUCGGACCUCACGCUAUCCGAUGAGCCCAGGUCGGCUUAGCUAGUUGGGGGGGUAAAGGCCUGCCAAGGAGACGAUCCGUAACUGGUCUGAGAGGAUGAUCAGUCACACUGGACCUGAGACACGGUCCAGACUCCUACGGGAGGCAGCAGUGGGGAAGAUUGGACAAUGGGCGAAAGCCUGAUCCAGCCAUGCCGCGUGUGUGAAGAAGGUCUUCGGAUUGUAAAGCACUUUAAGUUGGGAGGAAGAGCAGUAAGUUAAUACCUUGCUGUUUUGACGUUACCAACAGAAUAAGCACCGGCUAACUUCGUG